rnacentral:rRNA from 1 species
GUCUUCUUGGAUAAAUUAGGAAGUCUGUCCUGCCCACUGAGUGAAGUUUAAAGGGCCGCGGUAUUAUGACCGUGCAAAGGUAGCAUAGUCAAUAGUCUCUUAAUUGGAGGCUGGAAUGAACGGUUGGACGGGAAGAUAGCUGUCUUGGCUGAAUAGUAUGAAUUUGACUUUUAUGUGAAAAGGCAUAAAUGACUUGGAGGGACGAUAAGACCCUAUAAAACUUUAUAAUUUGAUUAGGAAUUUGACUUGAGUUUAAUAUAUGCCUAAGGAUUGUUAUUUCGCUGGGGAGGCGGAAAUAAAAUCUUUCUAACUGUUUUAUAAUUUGAAUAAUAAUAAUUAGAUGAUGACCCUGAAUUUUGGUUUAAAAGUUUAAGUUACUUUAGGGAUAACAGCGUAAUCUCUCUUGAGAGUUCAUAUCGACAGAGAUGGUUGCGACCUCGAUGUUGAAUUAAAAUUUCCUGCAGGAGUAGAAAUUUGUGGGGUAGGUCUGUUCGACCUUUAAAAUUUUACAUGAUUUGAGUUCAAACCGGUGUGAG